rnacentral:lncRNA from 1 species
AAGCCAUCAUUCUGAGCAGGGCUCUCUAGACCUCAGCAGGCGGCCGCAGGGCCUUGCAAAGAAGGUGCGGACCCCCAGCUCCAGGGUCUUCAGCCGAAGGCUUUCUCCGCCUGACAGGUCGCCCCUCUGACCUGGCUUUGCUUCUAAGCCUCCACCCAGGGGGGAACUAGCUCCCUGCUUGACGCCAGCAGCCCACAGGCCCACUACAGCAUCCAGACCCUACACCCUCUUGAAGCUCACCUCCAAAGAGGGUUCUGUCCUCUCUCUUCUUGGACCGCACCCGCCCACAGCCCUCGUCACACUGCAGGCAGCCCGGUCACCAGGCUCUGGGCCCUCGGGGCAGGGCCCCCGGCCUGGAGCGUCUUUUCCGAGAACGUGUGCAGAAUAAUCUGCCCCCUGUGGGCUGACUGCAUGCCAAGCCCCAACGCAGGGGACGCCCCCUAUACGGCACAGCCCUACGCCUUCCCCUUUCCCAGGGGGGACACUGAGGCACAGGGCUGUCAGGUGACCCCGCCAGGGUUCCAGGGCACUGAGAGCUCGGGGCGGAACCAGACAGACCUUGUGCGGAGCCCGGGGAAGCAACUCCUCCGAGCUCUAAGGGCCGGGGACGGUGGGGUGGAGGCGCUUCCUGGAGGUCUGUCCCCAGCAUCUCCCCAGGGCCGGCGAUGUCCACCUCCACCGCCGGUGGGCCGGGGGCCAGGCCUGUGAGUCCUGAGGGCACCCAGGCCCAGGAGGCCCGCGCUGGGGGUGGGGGCGCUGGGCCGCAGGGCAGGGAGAGGAGACGGGCUGGGGAGGAGGGGCCGGGACUAACGGUCUGGCCUUGCCCAUUCUUUGAAGGGGGGGACCCGGAGGAGUAGCUGAGGUCACUGGAACUGGGACACGAACCGGGCCGGGUCAGAGAUUCCCGGGAUGGUGCCCGCGGCCUGCACGCGGGUGGCUCCUCCCCUACAAGGCCCCUGACACGCCGCCGCUGCAUAACCAUCACCCGGUUCCCCAGACCAGGCAGGCCCAGCUUUUGGCCGCGGGUGGGUCCAGGCCCCGGAAGGCCGGCGCGGGGGUGGAGGGGGGCGGCGGUUGGGCCGGGGCGGAGCUGGCGAGGGGCCGGGCCACCCCCUUUCUGCGAGGGCGGGCGGCCGGCGCCUUAAAACGCGGCAGGGCCGGCC